rnacentral:lncRNA from 1 species
AUAAACGAAUGUGUGCGCGCGCGUGCAUCACGUACACAUUGCUUGUAGAGUGAGGGUGGGAGAUGACAGGAAGGGGAGGGACACGAAGGUUCUAACCUCGCGGUGGGUGGUAAACGAUAGAUAAGAUGCGCUUCCAUUUUGUCUUUUGAGCACUGCACCACAGGGAAGAACAAGUUUUCUGAAUGUUCAAAAAUCCAUAUUUUAAAUCGAUUUAUGAUGGAGAUGAGGAAGGAAGAGAAAAUGAUAGGAAGAAGAUGGUAGAAUAUCGAUAUAUACUUAAAAAAAUAUUACCACGGUAAUCGAGGUGACACAAAAACAUCGUAAAUAUGUACACGACAAAACAGGGAAUAAGAAAUGUGGUAAUCGUUUCACUUUUGAAACUUUAUCGAGUUUGUUGCAAGAAAUGGUAAGCGAUCUCACAUUUCGUAAUCAGCCGAUCUGAUUUGCCUCAUUACGCGUAAGC